GGAAGUUCAGUGGCAGAGUGUUAUGCUUUGAUUACAGGAGGUCCCAGGUUCCAAAUCCUGACAUCUCCA